rnacentral:rRNA from 1 species
CCCAUAGAGGGUGCCAGGCCCGUAGCGACCGCUGCCGAUCGCGGGAGGAUCCCUCCUCAGAGUCGGGUUGCUUGAGAGUGCAGCCCUAAGUGGGUGGUAAACUCCAUCUAAGGCUAAAUAUGACCACGAGACCGAUAGCGAACAAGUACCGUGAGGGAAAGUUGAAAAGCACUUUGAAGAGAGAGUUCAAGAGUACGUGAAACCGUUCAGGGGUAAACCUGAGAAACCCGAAAGGUCGAAAGGGGAAAUUCAUUCGCGUAUCGGCCGUCGGCGUGGAGCGUGUCGAGUGACGGAUGGCGUACGCGCCGUUCGCACCUUCCGUUCUUCGAACCGGCGUCGAACGCGUGCACUUUUCCCCUAGUAGGACGUCGCGAUCCGUUGGGUGUCGGUCUAAGACUCUCGUGGUGGAGCCCGUACGGUCGCUUUACGGCGUGUACCGUGCGGACCCACGGUGUUCCGGCCGACUCGCUCGACGGUAUACAAAUGGCGUGGGGCCGCUAUUCGCCUAUUAUUCUACUAUAAUAGGUAGUUAGCGUUCGGCACGUGGCAAGCGCGUUCGGCGUCUGACGGCGAUCGGACCUCGUGCCGGUCCUGUCCCCGAACGACUGUUGGCCACGUAGUUCUCGAACAGACCUCACGUACGUGUGACUUCUCGUCGCGCGUACAUAAACGCCGAUCUGCGACGCUAUAGCUUUGGGUACUUUCAGGACCCGUCUUGAAACACGG